rnacentral:tRNA from 1 species
AUGGGCGUAGCUCAACUGGUAGAGCGACGGCUUCCAAAUCCGUUAGGCGCGGGUUCGAAUCCUGCCGCCCAUG